rnacentral:rRNA from 1 species
GUAACCCCUCCAAACCUGCCCUGGAGACAUGGACAACCCCGGGAAACUGGCCAUUAAUCCGUGAUAGGUCAUCUCAUCUGGAAGGAGAGAUGGCUUAAAGGGGUGCGCGGGCUUCUUCUGCGUAUCUGCUCCAGGAUGGGACUGCGUCCGAUCAGGCUGUUGGCGGGGUAAUGGCCCACCAAACCAGUAACCGGUACGGGCCUUGAGAGAGGUGGCCCGGAGAUGGACACUGAGAGAAGGGUCCAGGUCCUACGGGGCGCAGCAGGCGCGAAACCUUCGCAAUGCGCGAAAGCGUGACGAGGUUAAUCCGAGUGGUCUCCGCUGAGGAGACCUUUUGUCAGCUGUAAAUAGGCAGGCGAAUAAGGGGAGGGCAAGCCUGGUGUCAGCCGCCGCGGUAAUACCAGCUCCUCGAGUGGUCGGGGCGAUUAUUGGGCCUAAAGCAUCCGUAGCCGGUUCCGUAGGUCCUCUGUUAAAUCCAACCGCUUAACGGUUGACCUGCAGAGGAUACCGCGGGACU